GACGAACGCUGGCGGCGUGCUUAACACAUGCAAGUCGAACGAUGAAGCUGGAGCUUGCUCCGGUGGAUUAGUGGCGAACGGGUGAGUAACACGUGAGCAAUCUGCCCUUGACUCUGGGAUAACUGCGGAAAACUGUAGCUAAUACCGGAUACUUUCACUGGAAGGCAUCUUCUGGUGAAGAAAGAAUUUCGGUCAAGGAUGAGCUCGCGGCCUAUCAGCUUGUUGGUGAGGUAACGGCUCACCAAGGCGACGACGGGUAGCCGGCCUGAGAGGGUGACCGGCCACACUGGGACUGAGACACGGCCCAGACUCCUACGGGAGGCAGCAGUGGGGAAUAUUGCACAAUGGGUGCAAGCCUGAUGCAGCAACGCCGCGUGAGGGAUGAAGGCCUUCGGGUUGUAAACCUCUUUUAGCAGGGAAGAAGCGAAAGUGACGGUACCUGCAGAAAAAGCACCGGCUAACUACGUGCCAGCCGCCGCAGUAA
rnacentral:rRNA from 1 species